rnacentral:rRNA from 1 species
CUCCUCUGGCGCUGCAUCACCCGCGCGCGGCGGCUGGCGCCGGAGCAGGAGACCGUGUGCCGCGCCGCCAUCGACAACCGCGGGCGGCUGCGGCCGGAGCUGCCCAGGGAGUACUUCGGCAACGCCAUCUACGCCAUCGGGACGGAGCCGGCGCGCGCCGCGGACCUCCUGGAGCGCGGGCACGGGUGGGCGGCGGCGGCCGUGGGGCGGGCCGUGGCGGCGCACACGGACGCGGCCAUCAGGGCGCGCGUGGCGGCGUGGACGGCCAAGCCCAUGGUGUACACGCAUCGCUUCUUCGACCCGACCGGGACCAUGAUGGGCAGCUCGCCGCGGUUCGACAUGUACGGCUGCGACUUCGGGUGGGGGAGGCCCGUGGCGGCGCGCAGCGGCCGGGCCAACAAGUUCGACGGCAAGACGUCGCUGUACCCCGGCCGGGAGGGCGGCGGGAGCAUCGACGCAGAGCUCACGCUCACGCCCGACAACAUGGCGGCGCUCGAGGAGAUUGAGGAGCUAUGGGCUGCCGUGACCCCGGACACGCCGGAGAAGAAGCCUUGA